GGGUUGUGAGGUUAAGCGACUAAGCGUACACGGUGGAUGCCCUGGCAGUCAGAGGCGAUGAAGGACGUGCUAAUCUGCGAUAAGCGUCGGUAAGGUGAUAUGAACCGUUAUAACCGGCGAUUUCCGAAUGGGGAAACCCAGUGUGAUUCGUCACACUAUCAUUAACUGAAUCCAUAGGUUAAUGAGGCGAACCGGGGGAACUGAAACAUCUAAGUACCCCGAGGAAAAGAAAUCAACCGAGAUUCCCCCAGUAGCGGCGAGCGAACGGGGAGCAGCCCAGAGCCUGAAUCAGUGUGUGUGUUAGUGGAAGCGUCUGGAAAGGCGUGCGAUACAGGGUGACAGCCCCGUACACAAAAAUGCACAUACUGUGAGCUCGAUGAGUAGGGCGGGACACGUGGUAUCCUGUCUGAAUAUGGGGGGACCAUCCUCCAAGGCUAAAUACUCCUGACUGACCGAUAGUGAACCAGUACCGUGAGGGAAAGGCGAAAAGAACCCCGGCGAGGGGAGUGAAAAAGAACCUGAAACCGUGUACGUACAAGCAGUGGGAGCCUCUUAAUGGGGUGACUGCGUACCUUUUGUAUAAUGGGUCAGCGACUUAUAUUCUGUAGCAAGGUUAACCGAAUAGGGGAGCCGAAGGGAAACCGAGUCUUAACUGGGCGUUAAGUUGCAGGGUAUAGACCCGAAACCCGGUGAUCUAGCCAUGGGCAGGUUGAAGGUUGGGUAACACUAACUGGAGGACCGAACCGACUAAUGUUGAAAAAUUAGCGGAUGACUUGUGGCUGGGGGUGAAAGGCCAAUCAAACCGGGAGAUAGCUGGUUCUCCCCGAAAGCUAUUUAGGUAGCGCCUCGUGAAUUCAUCUCCGGGGGUAGAGCACUGUUUCGGCAAGGGGGUCAUCCCGACUUACCAACCCGAUGCAAACUGCGAAUACCGGAGAAUGUUAUCACGGGAGACACACGGCGGGUGCUAACGUCCGUCGUGAAGAGGGAAACAACCCAGACCGCCAGCUAAGGUCCCAAAGUCAUGGUUAAGUGGGAAACGAUGUGGGAAGGCCCAGACAGCCAGGAUGUUGGCUUAGAAGCAGCCAUCAUUUAAAGAAAGCGUAAUAGCUCACUGGUCGAGUCGGCCUGCGCGGAAGAUGUAACGGGGCUAAACCAUGCACCGAAGCUGCGGCAGCGACACUAUGUGUUGUUGGGUAGGGGAGCGUUCUGUAAGCCUGUGAAGGUGUACUGUGAGGUAUGCUGGAGGUAUCAGAAGUGCGAAUGCUGACAUAAGUAACGAUAAAGCGGGUGAAAAGCCCGCUCGCCGGAAGACCAAGGGUUCCUGUCCAACGUUAAUCGGGGCAGGGUGAGUCGACCCCUAAGGCGAGGCCGAAAGGCGUAGUCGAUGGGAAACAGGUUAAUAUUCCUGUACUUGGUGUUACUGCGAAGGGGGGACGGAGAAGGCUAUGUUGGCCGGGCGACGGUUGUCCCGGUUUAAGCGUGUAGGCUGGUUUUCCAGGCAAAUCCGGAAAAUCAAGGCUGAGGCGUGAUGACGAGGCACUACGGUGCUGAAGCAACAAAUGCCCUGCUUCCAGGAAAAGCCUCUAAGCAUCAGGUAACAUCAAAUCGUACCCCAAACCGACACAGGUGGUCAGGUAGAGAAUACCAAGGCGCUUGAGAGAACUCGGGUGAAGGAACUAGGCAAAAUGGUGCCGUAACUUCGGGAGAAGGCACGCUGAUAUGUAGGUGAAGCGACUUGCUCGUGGAGCUGAAAUCAGUCGAAGAUACCAGCUGGCUGCAACUGUUUAUUAAAAACACAGCACUGUGCAAACACGAAAGUGGACGUAUACGGUGUGACGCCUGCCCGGUGCCGGAAGGUUAAUUGAUGGGGUUAGCGGUAACGCGAAGCUCUUGAUCGAAGCCCCGGUAAACGGCGGCCGUAACUAUAACGGUCCUAAGGUAGCGAAAUUCCUUGUCGGGUAAGUUCCGACCUGCACGAAUGGCGUAAUGAUGGCCAGGCUGUCUCCACCCGAGACUCAGUGAAAUUGAACUCGCUGUGAAGAUGCAGUGUACCCGCGGCAAGACGGAAAGACCCCGUGAACCUUUACUAUAGCUUGACACUGAACAUUGAGCCUUGAUGUGUAGGAUAGGUGGGAGGCUUUGAAGUGUGGACGCCAGUCUGCAUGGAGCCGGCCUUGAAAUACCACCCUUUAAUGUUUGAUGUUCUAACGUUGGCCCCUGAUCGGGGUUGCGGACAGUGUCUGGUGGGUAGUUUGACUGGGGCGGUCUCCUCCUAAAGAGUAACGGAGGAGCACGAAGGUUGGCUAAUCCUGGUCGGACAUCAGGAGGUUAGUGCAAUGGCAUAAGCCAGCUUGACUGCGAGCGUGACGGCGCGAGCAGGUGCGAAAGCAGGUCAUAGUGAUCCGGUGGUUCUGAAUGGAAGGGCCAUCGCUCAACGGAUAAAAGGUACUCCGGGGAUAACAGGCUGAUACCGCCCAAGAGUUCAUAUCGACGGCGGUGUUUGGCACCUCGAUGUCGGCUCAUCACAUCCUGGGGCUGAAGUAGGUCCCAAGGGUAUGGCUGUUCGCCAUUUAAAGUGGUACGCGAGCUGGGUUUAGAACGUCGUGAGACAGUUCGGUCCCUAUCUGCCGUGGGCGCUGGAGAACUGAGGGGGGCUGCUCCUAGUACGAGAGGACCGGAGUGGACGCAUCACUGGUGUUCGGGUUGUCAUGCCAAUGGCACUGCCCGGUAGCUAAAUGCGGAAGAGAUAAGUGCUGAAAGCAUCUAAGCACGAAACUUGCCCCGAGAUGAGUUCUCCCUGACUCCUUGAGAGUCCUGAAGGAACGUUGAAGACGACGACGUUGAUAGGCCGGGUGUGUAAGCGCAGCGAUGCGUUGAGCUAACCGGUACUAAUGAACCGUGAGGCUUAACCUUACAACGCCGAAGGUGUUU
rnacentral:rRNA from 1 species